AUAUUUACCUGGCAGGGGAGACACUGUGAUCACCAAGGCAGUUCUCCCAGGGCGAGGCUCACCCAUUGCACUCCGGGUGUGCUGACCCCUGCGAUUUCCCCCCCAAAAAUUAAAAAAAUAUUAUCUGUAUUUGUGCUAUAUAGGGAUUUCAAGCAAUUAUAAAGAACUUAGUCUUAU
rnacentral:snRNA from 1 species